AUGGCGUCGUCCGCCAUGCACGUAUCCAUUCUUUCCCUCCUCCUCCUAGCCACCACAGCGAGCAUCCCGCAUGCCUCUUCUCGAGCCGCCCCCUCCCAGGCGGACGGCGGCGCUACCGGCGGCAAGGCCGUGUACACCAAGGUGUGCGACGCGUCCCGGUUCAUGGCGGCCGGGCUGGACAUGUCCAAGUACCGGUACUGCAACGCGUCGCUUCCGUACGGCGACCGUGUGCGCGACCUCAUCGGCUGGAUGACGGUGGAGGAGAAGGUGUCCAACCUCGGCGACUGGGCUGACGGCGCGCCCCGCGUCGGCCUUCCCCCGUACAAGUGGUGGUCGGAGGCGCUACACGGGCUUUCCAGCACCGGCCCCACCACCAAGUUCGACGACCCCAAGAAACCGCGCCUCCACUCCGGCCGCGCCGCCGUCUUCAACGGCACUGUCUUCGCUAACGUCAUCAACAGCGCCGCCUCCUUCAACGAGUCCCUCUGGAAGUCCAUCGGCCAGGCGAUCUCGACGGAGGCCCGAGCGAUGUACAACCUGGGCAAGGGAGGGCUGACGUACUGGAGCCCCAACAUCAACGUGGUGCGCGACCCGAGGUGGGGCCGCGCGCUGGAGACGCCCGGCGAGGACCCCUACGUCGUCGGCCGCUACGCCGUCAACUUCGUGCGCGGCAUGCAGGACAUCCCGGGCCACGAGGUGGCCUCCGACCCCAUGUCCCGGCCGCUCAAGACCUCCGCGUGCUGCAAGCAUUACGCCGCCUACGACGUGGACGACUGGUACGGCCACACGCGCUUCAAGUUCGACGCCCGCGUCGAGGAGCGCGACAUGGUGGAGACCUUCCAGCGCCCGUUCGAGAUGUGCGUCCGCCAUGGCGACGUCAGCAGCGUCAUGUGCUCCUACAACCGCGUCAACGGCAUCCCGGCCUGCGCCGACGCGCGCCUCCUCUCCGGCACCAUCCGCCGCGACUGGGGCCUCCACGGCUACAUCGUCUCCGACUGCGACGCCGUGCGCGUCAUGACCGACAACGCCACAUGGCUGGGCUACACCGCGGUCGAGUCCACCGCCGCCGUGCUCAAGGCCGGGCUCGACCUCGACUGCGGCGAGAGCUGGAUCGUGCAGGACGGCAAGCCCGUCAUGGACUUCCUCACCACCUACGGCCUGGAGGCCGUCCAGAAGGGCAAGACACGCGAGUCCGACGUCGACAACGCGCUCACCAACCUCUACAUGACGCUCAUGAGGCUCGGCUACUUCGACGGCAUGCCCAGGUACGAGUCCCUCAACGAGAAGGACAUCUGCAGCCACGACCACAGGAGCCUCGCCCUCGACGGGGCCAGACAGGGCAUGGUGCUCCUCAAGAACCACGGCGGCCUGCUGCCCCUUGACCCCAAGAAGUUCGGCGCCAUCGCCGUCCGCGGCCCACAUGCCGAGGCGCCUGAAAAGAUCAUGGACGGAGACUACACAGGGCCGCCUUGCCGGUACGUGACGCCGCGAGAAGGCAUAAGCAAGGACGUGAAGAUCUGGCAUCACGCAAACUUGACCAUCUACUUUGGUGGCAUAAACAUGCACAUCGAGAGGGAGGGCAACGACAGGGAGGAUCUCCUCCUGCCCAAGAACCAGACGGAGGAGAUCCUCCACAUCGCGGCGGUAUCGUCUAACCCGAUCGUCCUCGUGAUCCUGUCCGGCGGCGGCAUCGACAUCUCCUUCGCGCAGGGCAACCCCAAGAUCGGCGCCAUCCUCUGGGCCGGUUACCCUGGUGGGGAAGGUGGCAUCGCCAUUGCUGAUGUCAUCUUCGGAAGAUACAGUCCAGGAGGACGGCUGCCACUGACAUGGUUCAAGAACAAGUACAUCCACCAGAUUCCUAUGACGUCCAUGGAGCUACGGCCGCGGCCGGACCACGGAUACCCGGGGCGGACAUACAAGUUUUACGACGGGCCGUAUGUGCUUUAUCGGUUCGCCCACGGCCUGAGCUACACCAAGUUCCGAUACGAGAGCAGCGCUGGCAACGGCACCGCAGUCACCCUCGCCGCCGGCGGGCACUGCAAGCAGCUCAGCUACAAGGCCGGCGCCGUGGACACUGCCCCGUCCUGCCCGGCCAUCGACGUCGCGAGCCACGCCUGCAAAGAGACCGUGGACUUCAACGUCAGCGUCGUCAAUUGCGGUGACGUGGACGGCAGCCACACGGUGCUGGUGUACACUGUGCCGCCGCCAGAGGUGGCCGGCGCGCCCAUCAAGCAGGUGGUGGCGUUCCAGAGGGUGUUUGUGAAGGCGGGCCGCGCAGCGACCGUUGGGUUCUCGCUCAAGGUGUGCGAGGCGUUUGGCAUCGUGGAGAAGACGGCGUACACCGUCGUGCCGUCAGGCGUCAGCACCGUCCUCCUUGAGAACGGUGACACGUCGUCGCCGUCGUCGGUGUCUUUCCCCGUCAAGAUCAGCUUCUCUACUUAG
rnacentral:rRNA from 1 species